GUGCUCACUUCAGCAGUACAUGUGCUAAAAUUGGAAAGAUACAGAGAAGAUUAGCAUGGCCCCUGCACAAAAAUUCGUGAAGCGUUCCAUAUUUAA
rnacentral:snRNA from 1 species